rnacentral:lncRNA from 1 species
CCCUCAGCGCAAACCCGGAAUAUCCAGGGACUCGCUCGUCAUUCGGUCCAUUUUACAAAGGAGGAGACUGAGGUCCGGAGUGGUCUGUGGACUUGUCCAACCCUCCGGGGAUCCCAGACCCCCUUUCCUCUGCACUGUCCUGGUGGACUUCCUGCUCCUGCCCCGGCUGGGUGGGGGCCCCGCAGCACCCCCUCCGUGCGCCCUGCGGCUCAGAGGGGAAGCUGUUGCCCCAGCUUGGCUUGAGCGCACAAGGACUGGGGAGUCCCGCUGCCCCCGCCCUGUGCCCCCCGCGGCCCAGACCCGCCUUGGAACCCCAGGGCUGCCGGCCCCACCCCUGACGCCUGCUGAAGCCCGGCACCGCACAGGCCCGACCGCAGCGCCCACUGCGCCGUCAGGGAGACUGAGGCUGAGACCGACAGCGACGACCCAGGACUUAGAAGCUGGGCUGAGUAGAACAAAGAUCCUUUGUCCCUCUUUGCUCUGUGUAGCCCUGGCAUGUGGGUCCUGUUUUCUACCGGACAUCUGUCUUUUCUAGGUUUGGAAUAUUGUGGUACAGACUAUUUCCUGGCCUAGAAAUACUUCCACUAUAGAUUAAAAUGUAAAAAGGCUCAGUCCUUAGUCCUUAGCCCAUAUAAGUCCUCAGUAACUAUCUGUGCUGGAAUGUUAGCUGAUGAAUCACGAACCAGUGCCUGUCCUCCGGGGCUUCAUAUUUAAGCUCCACACAGGGAAUGUAGUGAUGACCUGCCCCUGGAAGUGGCUGAGCAGAUACUAAAAACGUCCUGGGCUCACAGAGCCCUUCAGUUUCCUCGUGCAAAGGUUCUGCACCACAUGCCAGGGCUACAGAGCAAAGGAGGGAUCAUCCGAGGAGGCGGAAAGUCUUCACAGAGGAGGUGACAUUUGAACUGGUUUUGAAGGUGCAGAAGAAUCUCCAAAAGGAGAAAGAGAAGAGUGCGUUGGGCAAGCAGCACCUGUAAGACCCAGAAGCAUGAAGGGUGAGUUGCAGUUGUGACCCGAGUGAAACCUUAGAGCAGCUCUGCAAUCCCAGGAGGCAGAUGCUGCUCAUCAUAUUAGCAAGUGUUUAUUGAGCACUUCGUGUGUGCCUGGCACUAUGGGUGUUCUAAACAUAUCAAUUUCUUUAAUCUCCAUCAAGCUUAUGAGGUAGCUGCUAUCUAUCCCCA